rnacentral:rRNA from 1 species
AAUCAACGCUGGCGGCGUGCCUCAGACAUGCAAGUCGAACGACCAAACUUUCCUUCGGGAAAGAUAUAAAGUGGCGUACGGGUGAGUAACACGUAAGUAAUCUACCUUCGAGUGGGGAAUAACGUUCGGAAACGAACGCUAAUACCGCAUAAUGCAGCGGCAUCAAUGAUGACAGUUGUUAAAGAAUUUAUUCGCUUGAAGAGGAGCUUGCGGCAGAUUAGCUAGUUGGAAGGUAAUGGCUUACCAAGGCUACGAUCUGUAUCCGGUCUAAGAGGACGGUCGGACACACUGACACUGAAUAACGGGUCAGACUCCUACGGGAGGCAGCAGUCGGGAAUUUUGGGCAAUGGGCGAAAGCCUGACCCAGCAACGCCGCGUGAAGGAUGAAGUCUUUCGGGUA